AUUGAACGCUGGCGGCAGGCCUAACACAUGCAAGUCGAGCGGAGCGGCGGACGGGUGAGUAAUGCCUAGGAAUCUGCCUGGUAGUGGGGGAUAACGUCCGGAAAAGGGCGCUAAUACCGCAUCCUCUCAGAUGAGCCUAGGUCGGAUUAGCUAGUUGGUGGGGUAAAGGCCUACAAAGGCGACGAUCCGUAACUGGUCUGAGAGGCUGAUCAGUCACCCUGGAAUGGAGACGGGGUCCAGACUCCACAGGGAGGCAGCAGUGGGGAAUAUUGGACAAUGGGCGAAAGCCUGAUCCAGCCAUGCCGCGUGUGUGAAGAAGGUCUUCGGAUUGUAAAGCACGUUAAGUUGGGAAGCGUUACCAACAGAAUAAGCACCGGCUAACUUCGUGCCAGCAGCCGCGGUAAUAC
rnacentral:rRNA from 1 species